CUACAUAAAAUGACUCUCGGCAACGGAUAUCUCGGCUCUCGCAUCGAUGAAGAACGUAGCGAAAUGCGAUACUUGGUGUGAAUUGCAGAAUCCCGUGAACCAUCGAGUCUUUGAACGCAAGUUGCGCCCGAAACCAUUAGGUUGAGGGCACGUCUGCCUGGGUGUCW
rnacentral:rRNA from 1 species